rnacentral:rRNA from 1 species
GUGAUGGAGAGUUUGAUCCUGGCUCAGGAUUAACGCUGGCGGCGUGCCUUAUCAAUGCGAGUCGAACGGUACGGACACUUCGGUGUCACGACCGUGGCGUCCGGGUGAGUAACACGUGGGUGAUCUGCCUCUUUGUGGGGGAUAACCCCGGGAAACCGGGGACAAUACCGCAUACGAUCACCGGAAUGCGUUCCGGUGAUGAAAGAUUUAUCGCAGAGAGAGGAGCCCGCGGUCGAUUAGCUUGUUGGCGGGGUAAAAGCCCACCAAGGCUGAGAUCGAUAGCUGGUCUGAGAGGAUGAGCAGCCACACUGGGACUGAAAUAUGGUCCUGAGCCCUACGGGGUUUAGCAUGAAGGAAUCUUGCGCAAUGGGGGAAACCCUGACGCAGCAACGCCGCGUGGACGAUGAAGGCUCUUGGGUCGUAAAGUCCUUUUCCGAGUGAUGAUGAUGACAGUAGCUCGGGAAUAAGUCACGGCCAACUACGUGCCAGCAGCCGCGGCAAUACGUAGGUGGCGAGCGUUAUCCGGAAUUACUGGGCGUAAAGCGCACGUAGGCGGACCGAAAGGUUGCCUGUGAAAUCUCAGGGCCCAACCCUGAGGCGCCGGGCAAAACCAUCGGUCUUGAGGCUGGGAGAGGGAAGCGGAACUUCCGGUGUAGUGGUGGAAUGCGUAGAUAUCGGAAGGAACACCUGUGGCGAAGGCGGCUUCCUGGUCCAGAACUGACGCUAAGGUGCGAAGGCGUGGGGAGCAAACGGGAUUAGGUACCCCGGUAGUCCACGCUGUAAACGAUGGAUGCUAGAUGUUCAAGGUCUUGACCGUUGGGUGUCGUAGCUAACGCGUUAAGCAUCCCGCCUGGGGACUACGGUCGCAAGACUAAAACUCAAAGGAAUUGACGGGGGCC